rnacentral:rRNA from 1 species
CCUACGGGAGGCAGCAGUGAGGAAUAUUGGUCAAUGGACGCAAGUCUGAACCAGCCAUGCCGCGUGAAGGAUGAAGGCCUUCUGGGUUGUAAACUUCUUUUAUUGGGGAAGAAAAUUAUGGUUUCUACUAUAACCGACGGUACCCAAGGAAUCAGCACCGGCUAACUCCGUGCCAGCAGCCGCGGUAAUACGGAGGGUGCAAGCGUUAUCCGGAUUCACUGGGUUUAAAGGGUGUGUAGGCGGAUAUUUAAGUCAGUGGUGAAAUCUCCGGGCUCAACCCGGAAACUGCCAUUGAUACUAUUUAUCUUGAAUCUUGUUGAGGUAGGCGGAAUAUAUCAUGUAGCGGUGAAAUGCUUAGAUAUGAUAUAGAACACCGAUUGCGAAGGCAGCUUACUAAACAAGCAUUGACGCUGAGGCACGAAAGCGUGGGGAUCAAACAGGAUUAGAUACCCUGGUAGUCCACGCCCUAAACGAUGAUUACUCGACAUACGCGAUACACAGUGUGUGUCUGAGCGAAAGCAUUAAGUAAUCCACCUGGGAAGUACGUCCGCAAGGAUGAAANCUCAAAGGAGUUGACGG